UGGGGAAUUUUGCACAAUGGGCGCAAGCCUGAUGCAGCGACGCCGCGUGAGGGAUGAAGGCCUUCGGGUUGUAAACCUUUUUCGCUCAUGGUCAAGCCGCAGCUUUGGGUUGUGGUGAGGGUAGUGGGUAAAGAAGCGCCGGCUAACUACGUGCCAGCAGCCGCGGUAAUACGUAGGGCGCGAGCGUUGUCCGGAAUUAUUGGGCGUAAAGGGCUUGUAGGCGGUUGGCCGCGUCUGCCGUGAAAUCCUCUGGCUUAACUGGGGGCGUGCGGUGGGUACGGGUUGACUUGAGAGCGGUAGGGGAGGCUGGAAUUCCUGGUGGAGCGGUGGGAUGCGCAGAUAUCAGGAGGAACACCAAUGGCGAAGGCAGGUCUCUGGGCUGUUACAGACGCUGAGAAGCGAAAGCGUGGGGAGCGAACAGG
rnacentral:rRNA from 1 species